UACGGAGGAUGCAAGCGUUAUCCGGAAUUAUUGGGCGUAAAGCGUCCGUAGGUGGUUGGCCAAGUCUGCUGUCAAAGGGUGGGGCUUAACCUCAUAAAGGCAGUGGAAACUGGCGAGCUAGAGUGCGGUAGGGGUAGGGGGAAUUCCCAGUGUAGCGGUGAAAUGCGUAGAGAUUGGGAAGAACAUCGGUGGCGAAAGCGCCCUGCUGGGCCUGCACUGACACUGAGGGACGAAAGCUAGGGGAGCGAAAUCG
rnacentral:rRNA from 1 species